rnacentral:rRNA from 1 species
AGCAGCCGCGGUAAUUCCAGCUCCAAUAGCGUAUAUUAAAGUUGUUGCAGUUAAAAGCUCGUAGUUGAAUUUCGGGGUUAGUAGGUUGGUCAUGCCUCUGGUAUGUACUGGUCUCACUGAUUCCUCCUUCCUGAUGAGCCGUAAUGCCAUUAAUUUGGUGUUGCGGGGAAUUUGGACUGUUACUUUGAAAAAUUAGAGUGUUUAAAGCGAGCUAACGCUUGAAUACAUUAGCAUGGAAUAAUGAAAUAGGACGUUCGAUCCUAUUUUGUUGGUUCUAGGAUUGACGUAAUGAUUAAUAGGGAUAGUUGGGGGCAUUAGUAUUCAAUUGUCAGAGGUGAAAUUCUUGGAUUUAUUGAAGACUAACUACUGCGAAAGCAUUUGCCAAGGAUGUUUUCAUUAAUCAAGAACGAAAGUUAGGGGAUCGAAGACGAUCAGAUACCGUCGUAGUCUUAACCAUAAACUAUGCCGACUAGGGAUCGGAUGAUGUUAAUUUUUAUGUACCCA